rnacentral:rRNA from 1 species
GACGAACGCUGGCGGCGUGCUUAACACAUGCAAGUCGAACGCUGAAGACCUGGCUUUUGUUGGGUUGGAUGAGUGGCGAACGGGUGAGUAACACGUGAGUAACCUGCCCUCUUCUUUGGGAUAACGCCCGGAAACGGGUGCUAAUACUGGAUAUUCACUGGCCUUCGCAUGGGGGUUGGUGGAAAGGUUUGUUCUGGUGGGGGAUGGGCUCGCGGCCUAUCAGCGUGUUGGUGGGGUGAUGGCCUACCAAGGCGUAGACGGGUAGCCGGCCGGAGAGGGUGACCGGUCACAUUGGGACUGAGAUACGGCCCAGACUUCUACGGGAGGCAGCAGUGGGGAAUAGUGCACAAUGGGCGAAAGCCGGAUGCAGCGACGCCGCGUGAGGGAGGGAGGCCUUCGGGUUGGAAACCUCUUUCGCUCAUGGUCAAGCCGCAACUGUGGGUUGUGGUGAGGGUAGUGGGUAAAGAAGCGCCGGCUAACUACGUG